rnacentral:rRNA from 1 species
GAUGAACGCUGGCGGCGUGCGUAACACAUGCAAGUUGAACGACGGUGCCAUGAAGUGGUAACACGGAGUGGUAUACGGAGUAGCGGACGGGUGAGUAAAGCAUGAGAAUCUGUCCUGUCGAGGGGGAUAACGUUCGGAAACGGACCCUAAUACCCCAUAGUCCGAGAGGUUAAAGGCAGCGAUGCGCGGCAGGAGGAGCUCGUGUCCUAUCAGCUAGUUGGUGAGGUAACGGCUCACCAAGGCUUCGACGGGUAGCCGGCCUGAGAGGGUGACCGGCCACACUGGAACUGAGAAACGGUCCAGACUCCUACGGGAGGCAGCAGUGGGGAAUAUUGGGCAAUGGGAGGAAUCCUGACCCAGCGACGCCGCGCGAACGAAGACGGCCUUCCGGGUUGUAAAGUUCUUUUAUGUGGGAAGAAGGAAGUGACGGUACCACAUGAAUAACCCCGCUAACUAC